GGAGAGAGGCGACCUCAGCCAAAGCUUCUUUCUGCAACCUCGUUUCUCUUCUGCAAAAAACGAGACCCAGAUCGAGCUUCGUCGUUCCUCUUCGGCCUUCAUCGUUCCCAGAUCGAGAUUCGUCGUUCCUCUUCGGCCUUCAUCGUUCCUAGAUCGAGCUUCGUCGUUCCUCUUCGGCCAUCGAGAUUCGUCGUUCCUCUUCGGCCUUCAUCGUUCCCAGAUCGAGCUUCGUCGUUCCUCUUCGGCCUUCGUCGUUCCCAGCUCGGAGUCUUUUCUGCUCAAGACUUCUCCUCUUUUAUUUGAACCAUAAUGUUUGGAUUGAUAAUUUUUUUUCUUCUAAUAAAACGAGAGACAGUGAGGUCUGCUUCUACUUCCGUGCUCCGUUGAAAGAGAGAGAAGGGAAACAGGGAGUUGGAGAGGAGGAAGGGAGAAGAUCAUCAAGGCCAAUAAAGGUAGCAGGAAUAUUGGAUUAAAUUUUGCACAACACCUUUUGGCUGGUGAAACAGGUUCAACGUUUUUACAUAAAUUAAACAAAAUAAAGGCUUUCCUUUUGGCUGCUGAAUGCUUUCUCACAUUCAAGUCGAAUCAAUAGUCAUUCAAGGCUUUGGGUUAUUAGAACGCUCAAUUGUUAAAUUUAUAAAUGUUGAGUUUUCAAUGUUACUCAAUUGUCAUGAUAGGGUAUUUGAAAACUAAGAAAAACAUAAAAGUGAUAGUGGGCUGGAUUACUGAUGAGGAGGAAGCACUCAAUUGUCAUGAAGAGGAGGAUUUACAUUGAGUGGUUUAUCAGUUGAGUGUUUUUAUGGUAUCAAUUUGAUGAGUACCAUGCUCAUUGAGAACAUGCCAACUAAACAACGUAGAAAAUUAUCAAAGAUAGGCAACAACUAUUGACUUCUUCACAACGAGCAGAAAAAUGGAAAACACAGAGCUGGCAAGUGAAGUGGAAGCAAU